ACACGACUACAUUAGAUACCCGCGUAGUCCCAGCCCUAAACGAUGCGCGUUAGGUGUAUCGGUGACCACGAGUCACCGAGGUGCCGAAGGGAAACCGUGAAACGUGCCGCCUGGGAAGUACGGUCGCAAGGCUGAAACUUAAAGGAAUUGGCGGGAGAGCACCACAACGGGUGGAGCCUGCGGUUUAAUUGGACUCAACGCCGGGAAGCUCACCGGAUAAGACAGCGGAAUGAUUGCCGGGCUGAAGACCCUGCAUGACCAGCUG
rnacentral:rRNA from 1 species